rnacentral:rRNA from 1 species
CACGUAGGGUGCGAGCGUUGUCCGGAUUUAUUGGGCGUAAAGAGCUCGUAGGCGGUUUGUCGCGUCUGCUGUGAAAUCCCGAGGCUCAACCUCGGGCCUGCAGUGGGUACGGGCAGACUGGAGUGCGGUAGGGGAGAAUGGAAUUCCUGGUGUAGCGGUGGAAUGCGCAGAUAUCAGGAGGAACACCGAUGGCGAAGGCAGUUCUCUGGGCCGUAACUGACGCUGAGGAGCGAAAGCGUGGGGAGCGAACAGG